rnacentral:SRP_RNA from 1 species
CGCACUAAUCGGGGAGAUAGCGGUGCCCUGUAGCCCGCAAUCCGCUACAGCGGGGAUGAAUCCCUGCCCCCGGUGGCGUUAUGUGUCGUCUGCCUUUUCUGAGAAGCGUUGAUGAGCCGGUCCCGCGCAACGGGACCCUGUGAACCGUGUCAGGCGGGGAACCGAGCAGCACUAAGCAGGUUUUCCCGUGUGCCGCGGGCCUGCCGGCUUUGAGCUUUGAGGAUCAGUAACGGGUGUAUGGCUCCAUCAAAGGCAGGUGUG